rnacentral:misc_RNA from 1 species
UAUUAUUAAGCAUAUAUUUCAUCCCAUCAAAAGGAGGCUCCUCACACAAAAUCAUGCACUUACUCCAACCAAGACAAUGGAAGCCCUAGCAUGACAUAGAACUAGUAGAAUAUCAAAUCUGAUUCUCAAGUCUCACCCCAAAUCCAUCCGUGCAGAAGAAACUGGGCAGCAUUUAUAAGUGUGAUAUCCAACUUAAUAGAAACUAACAAUUAAUAUCUUGUGAACCAUCAUAAAAAUUUGUUAAAUAUCUUCCUUGUGACAUUUUCAAAGUACAUUCAGGAAACCAAGGUGUACACUUUUGCUACCAUAUAAAGCCAUCAGAAAAAAAGUAACUACCAACCUCUGUGGCUGUGAAUCCAUGU